rnacentral:tRNA from 2 species
AGAGAGGUGUCCGAGUGGUUGAAGGAGCCAGCCUGGAAAGCUUGUAUAUGGGUAACUGUAUCGUGGGUUCGAAUCCCAUCCUCUCUGCCA